rnacentral:rRNA from 1 species
AGCGAACGCUGGCGGCAGGCCUAACACAUGCAAGUCGAACGAACCUUUCGGGGUUAGUGGCGGACGGGUGAGUAACACGUGGGAACGUGCCUUUAGGUUCGGAAUAACUCAGGGAAACUUGUGCUAAUACCGAAUGUGCCCUUCGGGGGAAAGAUUAAUCGCCUUUAGAGCGGCCCGCGUCUGAUUAGCUAGUUGGUUGAGGUAAUGGCUCACCAAGGCGACGAUCAGUAGCUGGUCUGAGAGGAUGAUCAGCACAUUGGGACUGAGACACGGCCCAAACUCCUACGGGAGGCAGCAGUGGGGAAUCUUGCGCAAUGGGCGAAAGCCUGACGCAGCCAUGCCGCGUGAAUGAUGAAGGUCUUAGGAUUGUAAAAUUCUUUCACCGGGGACGAUAAUGACGGUACCCGGAGAAGAAGCCCCGGCUAACUUCGUG